rnacentral:rRNA from 1 species
GGCCUGAACGCUGGCGGCGUGGCUAAGACAUGCAAGUCGCACGGUGUAGCAAUACACAGUGGCGAACGGGAGAGUAAUGAAUCGCUAACGUACCCCGGACUCUGGGAUAGCCAUCCGAAAGGAUGGGUAAUACCAGUAUAAUAUAACCGACAGGCAUCUGUCGGUUCUCAAAGGUCCGCCGGUCUGGGAGCGGGCGAGUUCGUAGUCGAGCUAGUUGGUGAGGUAAUGGCUCACCAAGGCGACGACGCGUAGCCGGACUGAGAGGUUGGCCGGCCUCAUUGGGACUGAGACACUGCCCCAGACCUCCGUACGGGGGGCUGCAGUAACGAUCUCGCAAUGCACGAAGUGUGACGGAGCGACGCCGCGUGUGGACACGCCGUUGGGUACGUAACCACGUGUCGAGGGUUACCAAGUUCG